GGUCGCAAAGGGUGACAUUUUAUCAACAAGGCUGCAUUUUCAGCACGUCCGAAAAAUAUAUAAAAGACAUUGAUUUUAGCAUUGGCAAAUUGGUUUAGUCGCGUAGUGAGGAGCCGAUAAAAACGUAGCUAAAUUCAGAAACAUAUUUUGGGGAAUUCUGAAAUGUAUUGGAAUAAAUGACCAAACUAUAAAACCAGCUAGCCAGCUAUCGGUAACUGUAGCUAGCUAGCACUCCUGUCAGGUAGCAAUGUUAGAUUACCAGGGUUGCGUUCCACACACUUAAAAGACACACCCUCGUCCACUUUCCCUCGCCCUAUGCCCUUGGCGUAAUCCCCAUCUUGGAGGGCAGUCCAAAUGAUUAGCAAAGCAAGGGAAGUUUGCAACGUAACCCCCUCAGCCCUCGUUGUUAGUCAGCUUUGCAAGUGUACAAUUAUGUUUUCUCCGUGGCCUGAAACUCCCCAUAAUUCAAUUCGCAGCGAUUGUACAUCCGCUAAGAAAAGUCAGCAAAAAAACAUCAAUGGAGAAGUCAACAUACAAGUAUUACUCCGUGCAAAUCUCCACCCUCCAAAAAACCCAACAUGAACUCUGACAUCGUGGCUACCCUCUCCUUACUCAUCAACUCCAGAUGUGACGCCAUUGAGAAAAUGGUAGGCGCGAACACCAUGGUUAUCGUUGGCUUGAAAAAGACUGGAGUUUGCAUGUGGUGAAAUCAAGUAUAUGAAAACGAGUGUGCCAAAAGUUGAAAAAAGUGUGGAAAGGGUGGGAAAUAAUAACAAUGUCUACCAUAGACGUCUCAAUUAUCUGGAACAAUACACAAGAAGAUGGAACCUGAGACUCUACGGCUUGCCAGAGGUGGAGAAUGAAGAUGUGCGAGGAGAGGCUAUCCGCAUCUGCCAAGACGUUAUGCCUGCAGAGAAGAACAAAGUUGGUGAUACCAUCGAUGUUGUGCAUCGCCUCGGCAAGAAGCAACAGCAAAACGAUUCAAGACCUAGGGGUAUCAUCAUCCUCUUCACUGCCAGAUUCUACAGGGAUUGCUGUCUGGAAAGCUGCUAGGAAGAACGCCUUCCUUCAGAGCCGUGGUAUGCGUUUCGCCGAGCAUCUCAGCCCGGAGUACAUAGAAAGAAGGAACAAGUUGUGGCCAACGAUCAAGAUAGCAUGAAAUGAGGGAAAGGCUGCUUACUUCGUCGGAGGACGAGGCUUCAUCAACGGUUCAGAAAUCCAUAUUCCUCCCAUGGUUUCAGCCAAUGGUAUUCUCAUUUUCCUUAUGUUGUUUACCUAACAAGCAUCAGGUGACUAUUUUUCAGGAAUACUCCGGUAUUUCAAUUUAUUAGUUUAUUCUUGUAUGAUCAGAAGACCUAUUUUGUUUACAAACUUACGAAGAAGAUUGAAAGCUGUAUUUAUUUUAUGUAUACAAUAACUAAGAUACUGUUUUAAAGGGCAUACAGGUCUGCUCUGACUUUACACAGUUAUUGUUCUAUUUAGUUAUUAGUACUUUAUUCCAAAAAAGGUCUUAGGACCUUAGGAAUGUGUAUAUAGGAACGUGUAAAUGUAAAACAUUUUUUAUUCAAUUUUUUUUAUGAUCAGUUUUCAUAUGCACUUAAAAUAGUAAGUACCCUUUCAUAUAAAUUAUUAUUUGUUAUUUUAUUUCUCAGAAUAGUUCCUGAUUACACUGAAGAGGGUCUUUAGUCUCUCUUACGACAAGAACCCCUGCUUUGGUCUUGAACAUAAUUUUCAGUUGAGUUGAAUUUCAAUCCCGGAUAACGUCUAGCUCAAAGGUUAAGGAAUAAGCUAUUUUCACUUUAAAUUGACAUAAAUGGUGCAGAUCUAGGUUCCUUAUCGUUUACGUUCACUGCUCCUACAUCUAUGACUCAUCCUACUACAGUUUAUACUUUUAUAUAAUCUUUGUUGUUUUGUCUUUGUCUAUGGUUUCUCUUAAUGCUAGGGGGUUACGAAACAAUGAAGCGCAAGGCCUUAUUUUUAUUUGCUAAACAAUUUCGAACAGAUUUUUGCUUUUUUCAAGAGUCACUCAAUUUCAGCUGAUGCCAACUUCUGGAGGUCACAGUGGGGCAACGAUAUUGGGCUUUCCCAUGGAUCUCAACGCUCCGCUGGUGUCACUACAAUGAAAAAUACCUUUGGUGGUAAUAUUCUACACUCGGAAUGUGACCCCUUUGGUCACUUUAUUUGUCUUGUGAUCAGUUACAAUGAUAUUACACUCAUUACUGUAAACUUCUACGGGUACAACACCAAACAUGAGAAUGAGGAGUUGUUUGAAUCUAUAGAGAAACAUAUACUUCAUUGGUUAUCUAAAUUUCCCAAAUCGUUAUUAUUGAUAGGAGGGGACUUUAACAUUACUAUAGAUAAUUCAACUGAUAGAUGGCCCCCCAGGUAGGCCAACCAAUCAGAAUUUGGGUUUAAUACUUUUUAUGGAAAAGUUUGAUCUUACUGAUAUAUGGAGAGAGAGGUUUCCGGCAGACAGAUCAUUCACUUGGAGUAACAAAACAGGCUCCAGACAAUCCAGAAUAGAUUGUUGGCUUAUAUCCAAAUGUAUUGAUAGUGAGUGUGUUACUACACAUAUUUGUACUACUCCCCUCACAGACCAUAGGGCUAUUUACAUUGAUAUCAAAAUAUUUACCCCUGAUACUAACCUUGGUAGAACAUCCUACUGGAAGCUAAAUAGCUCAUUAUUAAAUAAUGAUAUAGUUAAAUUUGAAGGGUUAAAGAUCUGCUCUCACACUUUUGGGAAAGGGCUUGUGAAGAAAACUCUUAUUGCAAGAACUGGGAGCUCUUUAAAUUUGAGGUGUCCAAAUACUUUAGGAAAUAUGGUAGUAAUCUUGCUAAGACCAGAAGAGCUGAGGAGGAAAAGGUGAGCUCAGGGGUCCCCAGCCGACCUCUCGGGGGAGGAGAAGAUGGAACUAAUAGAGUUAUAAAAUAAACUGGAUAGUAUAUAUAAAUUAAAAGCAGAAGGAGCCUUUAUUAGAUCUAGGAAAAAAUAGAUUGAGGGAGAACAGAAUUAAUCCUAUUUCUUUAGACUUGAGAAAUUUCACUCUAAAAAUAACACUAUCCAUAAGUUAAACAUUGAUGGUGUUAUUACAGAUGACCAAAAAUGUAUCGCUAAAUACUGUAGCAAUUUUUACAGAAAAUUGUAUAGCUCUAUGUACUGUCAGGAAUCCACAGAUAUGGUUUUUAACUCACUGAAUAAUGUUCACUCUAUAAGUGAUAUAAAUUUAAACAGUGUGAUGAACCCAUCAAAGUUGAAUAAAUUAUAGUCUAUCAAACAUCUAAAGACCAAUAAAUCACCAGGUGUUGAAGGAAUUACAUCAGAAUUUUACAAAUUAUUUUCUGAACAAGUAGCUCCCUUUCUAUUUGAAGUCUUUUUAGAGAGUAUUAAAAACAAUGUUCUCCCUCCUACAAUGAGUUAAUAACACUGAUACCUAAGCCUAAAAAAGAAGUGCUGCUCAUUGAUAACUGGUGUCCAAUUUGUCUUCUUAAUAAUGACUAUAAGAUAUUAGCCUUACUACUUGCAAAAGUAAUUAAAGAAGUCCUGGAUGCAAUCAUUGAUGAAACACUGUCUGGCUUCAUGAGGAACAGACAUAUUUGGCUGCUGUGGUGAUAUGAUGCUGGGGAAUAUGAUGCUUUUCCUAAUUGAAAUACAAAUUACAUGAAUAAAGGGGCUUGUUUCUCCUCUGAUAUUCCAUCAGUAUUGAGAAGGACAGAAUACAUCCUCAAAUUGAUUUGUUCAUGAAUAAUGCUGCAAUUACUUGUAUUUGGAAUCUUGGCACCUUAAAGUAGAGUCUGUGUUAUAGAAAAGUACAUUUGGAAAUUGACCAUGAAAGCUGAUUAUGGAUCGGAAAUGGAACGUCGCAUAUAAUCAAGUAUUUAAAAAAAACUAUUUUACAUACCAAUCCACUGGCACCGCAAUGUUUUCAGGGUUGGAUAUAAGCUCCUGGGACUGGUGGUGCGACUGGAAGAAAAUAUUUUAAGCCAGCUACUCUAACGUCCACUGGCACCUCAAUGUUUUCAUGUUACAUCUGUGCCGUCUCCCAAUUGUCUAGACCAGUGAAUAAUAAGGUAGAGGCUUGAAUUAUCCCGCAAAGCACUGCCUUUCACAUCAGGCAAGUUAAUUACACCAACAGUUCAAAUGAGAGUAUAUCAGAGACAUAAAUUAGGCCAAAUUACCUGCUCCAUUCAUGAACUUAAAGCAGCUUCUGUCCCAGGUGCUGUCUGGUGGCAUACACUUGAUGGCUAAAUUGUUUAAUUUGUUAUUUUUUCUGCGGCUGAGCGGUGGCCAAUAACAGAUGUUAUCUUUGAUCCCUACUUGUGGAACUACUGCAUAUGGUUUGUUCUAUUCAUCCAGAAACUGAAUCACUACAAACUUCAUGAUCUAAAGACAGGAGAGAAAGAGGAAGAACUAAGCAUAAAGACCACUUACAAUUUAAUAAAUAAAAACUUACACUACAAUCAUACAAUGAAACCCUAAGAUAUUUACCUUGUGAGAGGCGAACAGAAAUAAACAGGGCAAGGCCAUGUCUACAAGUGGCUCAGUGGAAAGCCAGCAUAUCCAUCUUGGCAAGGAAGAAGAUAGUAUUUCUUUAGCACAUUUGUAGAGUUGGUGAAGCAAGCACCUCCAGAGAGGUGAAAAAUGCCUGUCUUGGAAAAUGGUAAAGGGUAGGUGAAGAAAUCGACCAUGUUCCUGAACCUAUUGUAGAUGCCGAAAUUGUUGCCCAUUUCAUCGACGACCACAUUCUGUACAACAGCAAUGUCCUGGUUUUGUAACAGGACACAGUUGUCUCCCUCUGACCUUUUCACAGCAAAUUCUCCAAAGUAAAACUUCUCGAACUGAUAUGUCACUGCUGUUGUGCUCUCUCAGGGACAGUGCUUUGGAGGUGUUCAUUCUUCAGUAUAGUUUCUUCUCUGACAGAUGACGAACAACCUGCACCAGUGGGUGUGCAGGUUUGCAAAGCAGUCUCUUCAUUUGCCCAAGGAAGUUUUCAAAUGGGAAACACAAUAUUUUGUCAAGGGCACCAUACUUCUUGGAUUCUUGGCGAAGGUGCACCAAUCCAUACAUGUUCUAUGUCACCUGCUGUUUUCCAUAAAGUUUGCUGCAGUGGUCAACAAACAAAACCAUGAGGCUAUGGGUAAAUUCAGCUUGAUCUGCGCACAGGGACACGUUCAACAGGAUGGUGAUGGCAACUGCAAGAAGCAUGUAGUUGUGGAACACUCUUUAAAAAAAGGUGCUAUCUAGAACCUUUAAGGGUUCUUCAGCUGUCCCCAUAGGAGAACCCUUUGAAUAUCCCUUUUUGGUUCCAGGCAUAACUGUUUUGGGUUUCAUGUAGAACCCUUUUUUUCUAAGAGUGUACACGAGUUGGUACAAGCCCUUUCAAGCUGACUGGUCCAGUGUACAGGAGGCACUGUCUGAAUUUAGUAGCUUUCCAGGGCUCAACUCUCUGGAUUUUUGCUUCCUGUUGAACUCACAUGGAACAUGAGGUCAGGAGUACUUUGGAGAUGUCCUUUACCAUACUGGGUGCCGAUCUUCUUGCCAAAUGUCCUUUUAUCCAAAGAUUCAACAAUUUCCUUGUCACUCCUAGGCACACCAGAUGCAUGUAUUUCAGUGAGAACUGUGUCACCGAUCCAACAGACUGCAAAGCAAAUAGUGGUUCUCCACACCGAUGGCUGUCAUCUGAGAGUUCAUCGGGGACUGCAGUGUCCAAUCUCAGAGUUGCAUCUGUUUGAGGGAAAGUCAUUCUGUUCUCGUAGUAGACCCCUUUUCGUGUGCACUUGUCACAUCCAUAGUAUCCGCUAUGGCCCUUAACAUUUUUCACAAGUGCACGAGCAGGGGUGUCACAGAUAAACGCCGACAUCUUGAAAGAAAGCUGUGUCCCUUCAAACUCCUUCCCUUUCCAGUCGCUGUGCCUCCUCAACGAAAAUAUUUAAAAAACUGGAGACUGUUUGGCUUCUUCUUCCCAAAGUAAAGACCAAUAAUAAAUGGGAGUUUGUUUUGCUAGACAUUGUCCACGUAUUGCUCAAUUAAUCAAAGGAUUGGCCAGAACUAGGCAUUUGAACGUCUGUAAUUUUUAUCAUAGGUACACUUCAACUGUGAGAGACGGAAUCUAAAACAAAAAUCCAGAAAAUCAUAUUGUAUGAUUUUUAAAUAAUUAAUUAGCAUUUUAUUGCAUAAGUAUUUGAUACAUCAGAAAAGCAGAACUUAAUAUUUGGUACAGAAACCUUUGUUUGCAAUUACAGAGAUCAUACGUUUCCUGUCGUUCUUGACCAGGUUUGCACACACUGCAGCAGGGAUUUUGGCCCACUCCUCCAUACAGACCUUUUCCAGAUCAUUCAGGUUUCGGGGCUGUCGCUGGGCAAUACAAACUUUCAGCUCCCUCCAAAGAUUUUCUAUUGGGUUCAGGUCUGGAGACUGGCCAGGCCAUUCCAGGACCCUGAGAUGCUUCUUAUGGCGCCACUCCUUAGUUGCCCUGGCUGUGUGUUUCGGGUCAUUGUCAUGCUGGAAGACUCAGCCACGACCCAUCUUCAAUGCUCUUACUGAGGGAAGGAGGUUGUUGGCCAAGAUCUUGCGAUACAUGGCCCCAUCCAUCCUCCCCUCAAUACGGUGCAGCCGUCCUGUCCCCUUUGCAGAAAAGCAUCCCCCCAAAAAUGAUGUUUCCACCUCCAUGCUUCACGGUCGGGAUGGUGUUCUUGGGGUUGUACUCAUCCUUCUUCUCCUCCAAACACAGUGAGUGGAGUUUAGACCAAAAAGCUCUAUUUGUCUCAUCAGACCACAUGACCUUCUCCCAUUCCUCCUCUGGAUCAUUCAGAUGGUCAUUGGCAAACUUCAGACGGGCCUGGACAUGCGCUGGCUUGAGCAGGGGGACCUUGUGUGUGCUGCAGGAUUUUAAUCCAUGAUGGCGUAAUGUGUUACUAAUGGUUUUCUUUGAGACUGUGGUCCCAGCUCUCUUCAGGUCAUUGACCAGGUCCUGCCGUUUAGUUCUGGGCUGAUCCCUCACCUUCCUCAUGAUCAUUGAUGCCCCACGAGGUGAGAUCUUGCAUGGAGCCCCAGACCGAGGGUGAUUGACCGUCAUCUUGAACUUCUUCGAUUUUCUAAUAAUUGCGCCAACAGUUGUUGCCUUCUCACCAAGCUGCUUGCCUAUUGUCCUGUAGCCCAUCCCAGCCUUGUGCAGGUCUACAAUUUUAUCCCUGAUGUCUUUACACAGCUCUCUGGUCUUGGCCAUUGUGGAGAGGUUGGAGUCUGUUUGAUUGAGUGUGUGGACAGGUGUCUUUUAUGCAGGUAACGAGUUCAAACAGGUGCAGUUAAUAACGGUAAUGAGUGGAGAACAGGAGGGUUUCUUAUAGAAAAACUAACAGGUCUUUGAGAGCUGGAAUUCUUACUGGUUGGUAGGUGAUCAAAUACUUAUGUCAUGCAAUAAAAUGCAAAUUAAUGAUUUAAAAAUCAUACAAUGUGAUUUUCUGGAUUUUUGCUUUAGAUUCCGUCUCUCACAGUUGAAGUGUACCUAUCAUAAAAAUUACAGACCUCUACAUGCUUUGUAAGUAGGUUGUUCUCCCCACUGUAUACCACCAGAAAGUUAUUUUUAUUUGGGGGGUUGGGGGGGGUAGUCUGUGUCUUCAGAAGGUUCUUGGGUCUUUAGGCAAGUUUGGAUGGUCAUUGAAGAAGAUAAUUGUCAAUAGCUUCGAGAGUGCAAUGUGAGGAAUCAUUUUUGUCAAUAACCCAAUAUGCCAAAUGUGUCCUAAAAUCCCCCUCUUCCUCUUUGCUAUCUUCUAUGGUGCUUGAGGGAAUGUCAGAAGGGGGGUCAAAAUCAGCAUCUUCUAAACAGGGGUUGGUGUGCCACAUUGAUUGCACUUUGCCCAUGGCCUAUUGGAUCCAAGCCAUGAUGACUUUCACUUUGAAGAGCAUGUGCCCCAAUGGUCCAGUCCGGAAGAGCAGCAGCCAAACCAGCAGUGGCGGGGGCUAAACUGGCAGCUCCUGUAUGUCCUUCUGAACUCCCCUCACUAUUCUCCUCCUUUUAGUCCAGUAACUUGACAUGGUUAACGUACCUUUCACUUAAAGCACAAAGGUAAGGCUUGUCUGUAGGAUAAACAACAUAUUUUUGUGAAAUGUUUUGAGCAUUUUGAGGGUAUAAAGUUUAUUUUGAUUGGUCCACGGCAAAGAAUUGUCUCCCAACGUCAGCAUAUGUCAGAGAAACAACCAGCGGCGUCUAAACUAACAACGGUCACAACAAACUAACGCUCUUAUUUAAUCAACACUGUUAAUUACAAGCAUAUUACGGUUAUAAUAUUGCAGAGAACAAUCUAAUUAUUAUACUGAACAAAAAUAUAAAAGAAACAUGCAACAAUUUAAAAUAUUUUACUGAGUUACAGGUCAUAUAAGGAAAUCACUCACUUGAAAUACAUUCAUUAGGCCCUAAUCUAUGGAUUUCACAUGACUGGUGUCACGCCCUGAUCUGUUUCACCUGUCCUUGUGAUUGUCUCCACGCCCUCCAGGUGUCGCUUAUUUUCCCUGGUGUAUUUAUCCCUGUGUUUCCUGUCUCUCUGUGCCAGUUCGUCUUGUAUGUUCAAGUCAACCAGCGUGGUUUUCCCAUGCGCCUGCUUUUCUAGUCUCUUUUACUAGUCCUCCCGGUGUUGAACUUUGCCUGUUUUUCUGGACUCUAUUCUGGACUCCUGACCUCGAGCCUGCCUGCCUGCCAUUCUGUACCUCUGGACUGGUUCUGACCUUUUGCCUGUCCAUGCCCAUUCUCUUGCUUACCCCUUUUGGAUUGUUAAUUCCAGUCUUGGACUCUAACCAUCUGCCCCCUGUGUCUGGGUCUUGCCAUGUGCCCUUAUAACUGGGAAUACAGAUAUGCAUCUGUUGGUCACAUAUCUUUUUUUUAAAUGUAUGGACAUGGUUUAGAAAACCAGUCAGUAUCUGGUGUGACCACCAUUUUACCUCGUGCAGCACAACUUCUCCUAUGCAUAGAGUUGAUCAGGCUGUUGAUUGUAACCUGUGGAAUUAUGUCCCAUUCUUCAAUGGCUGUGCGAAGUUGCUGGAUAUUGGCGGAACUGGAACAUGCACUCAUACAUGUCAAUCCAAAGCAUCCUACACAUUCUCAAUGGUUAACAUGUCUGGUGAGUAUGCAGGCCAUGGACAGAACUGGGACAUUUUCAGCUUCCAGGAAUUGUGUACUGAUCCUUGUGAUAUGGGGCCAUGCAUUAUCAUGCUGAAAGAUGAGGUGAUGGGGGUGGAUGAAUGGCACGAUAAUGGGCCUCAGGACCACGCCACGGUUUCUCUGUGCAUUCAGAUUGCCAUUGAUCAAAUGUGUUUGUUGUCCGAUGCUUAUGCCUGCCCAUAUCAUAACCCCACCUCCACCAUGGGGCACUCCGUUCACAACGUUGACAUCAGCAAACCGCUCGCCCACACGACACUAUACACGUGAUCUGCUGUUUUGAGGCCAGUUGAACGUACUGUCAAAUUCUCUAAAAUAAUGCUAGAGGCAGCUUAUGGUAGAGAAAUGAAUUAUUUGGCAACCGCUCUGGUGGACGUUCCUGCAGUCAGCAUGCCAAUUGUGUGUUCCCUCAACUUGAGACAGCUGUGACGUUGUGACAAGACUGCACAUUUUAGAGUGGCACCUGUGUAAUGAUCAUGGUGUAUAAUCAGCUUCUUGAUAUGCCACACCUGUCAGGUGGAUGGAUUAGCUUGGCAAAGGAGAAAUGCUCAUUAACAGGGAUGUAAAGGAGUAUGUGCACAGAAUUUGAGAGAAAUAAGCUUUUUGUGUUUAUGGAACAUUUCCAGGAUCUUUUAUUUCAGUUCAUGAGACAUGGGACCAACACUUGUUGUGUUUACAUUUUUGUACAGUAUAGUUUGGAAGGGGGUCACCCCCUAACCCUCACCCUCUUUUCCCUAGCCAACCCAUUUCUGGAGUUUUGAUUAGUAAACAGGAUGUUUCUCUCUCUCUCUCUCCUCCACGCUCUGUGAUUGUAUCAAAUGUCUGUAUAGGCCCGAGACUGAGCUUUGCUGCGUUCUAGACUUGAAACUCUUUGAUAGCAUCUCACUCAGUGGGCUCUGACUGGUAGUAGGGGACAGUGUUUAUCUCCUGUUGUGUGCACUUAAAUGAAUGUUAAUUAGGAUAACGCGGCAGAGAUAGAGGCUUGUCAGGAGAGCAGGAUGGGAUGUCUGUCUGCUGGGUAGAGGCUUGAGGGCUUAGUUUGACAGAAUGGGGCCAUUUACAUUUACGACAAUGUCCGAUAUGGAGCAAUUUGUAAUUAUAUGAAUUGUGUCACUUUGCUGUUGAUCUCACUUCUGAAGGUUUUGAGAGGCUUCAUGAUGGUAAUGGGCCUAGAUGAUCAACCAAAGUUAAAAUAAGCCAAAAGCUGACUAUGGGCAAUUCCACGGUAACAGAGUUUUCACUUAAAAUGUAUGCCAAACAAAACCCAUUGCCUGCAAAGUUUAACACAACUCGAUGCACAAGGAAUACUUUAACAAUUUACACUGAACAUUUUACAAAAUACAUUUACUGGAAGAACUUGGUAACAGAAUUUAAAAUUUAAAAUCUCCCUCAGUUUGUUUGGUGUCCACGUUUUUUUGAAAAAACUGUUAAUUGUUUCUGUACCGAAUUAAGUUUUAACAAGGUUUUCAGAAAGAAUGGCGUGUCAGCUAUGACAUCCGCUUGGGACGCAGCUAUGACACGUGUAGAAUGUAUGUGAAACAGCACAGAUGAAAAAUAUAUGGCACAUGGAAAUCAUAAGAGGGCAGUUUACGGAGAUAGGUGGGAUGGACUGAAAAUAGCUGAAUGGAGGGUUUAUAUAGUUAUGACUGAAAACACAAUGUAUAAUAUACAAGUACUAUCUCUCUAGAUGUUAUGUAUAUCAAAAUAUUUUAUUCUUCCUGUGUAACUACUGUAAAUAAAAUCUAAUGUCUGUAGACUGUACAUGUAACAACAGAAAAAGCUGUAAAAAUAACAUUUAUGUUUGUACUCUGAAGAAGAAAAAGACCUUUGCAGAGCCUACCCAGACAUAGAAUGUUUGUUGCACUGUGAUCCCAAUGUAAAUGUCAAGCGUGUUUAGAUGUUACUCACUGGAGUUGAUGUCUGGUUCUGUGUACUGGCCUUUUUUCUAGCAGUUGGACCACCUGGUUACAUGUGACACUAAGACCAGGGUUAGAUGAAGUUGCUUUAAAUCAGGCCAAAACUUUGACUACAGUUAUGCCAGAAUCCACUCAGUGGCUGGAUUCUCAUGUUCAGUAUAACAGACCCAGACCAAAUGAAAUAAAAGUACCACGAUUCAAUUUACAGGGUCAUAAAUAAUCAUUAGACUCACUGUAACAGAGGUUGACAUUUCAUCUCUAAUAUAGUAUUUAGAGUUCAAUUUCAUUACAUACAUUGUUAAUUUAGUUUCUAAUAAAGAAUCUUGUAAAAAAAAAUAUUGAUAUUGAUAUUAAACAGACACAAAGAAUGGUGUCAUAUGACACACUGACUAAAACAAAUCUCUUUAGGUUAUUGAACUACAGUAAAUUAAGUGGAUUUAUACCUGGGAACGGAAUUGCCGUAACAGAAUUUUAUCAUGUGUCCCUGAUCUGUACUACACAGAAACGCAUAAUUAUGGAGAUGAAUGUCAUUAUUUUAAUGGAUAUGAGCUCUGGCCACAAACAAAACCAUAUUUGGUCCGGACCAAAUCUGAACCAAGUUUGGACAUCAAAGUACAACACAGAGUACAGUACAUUAUAGUUUACUCAACUUGUUUGCUCUACUGUGUACUGUACUGAACUAUACUCUACUUUUCUUCACUGUACUGUGCUGUCUGAAUUUGUGAACCCAACUGUGGUUUGUGACUACUAUGAUUUCCCAUUGUAGCCAAUUCAAUUGCUGAAAUUCCAUUACCGAUUUUGGUAACGGAAUAUCGAGUUAGCAAUUUUAUGAAUUGUUAAUUGAUUAUCAGUAAAAAUCGGUCUACCGUG